rnacentral:rRNA from 1 species
AACUACGUGCCAGCAGCCGCGGUAAUACGUAGGUGGCAAGCGUUGUCCGGGUUUAUUGGGCGUAAAGCGAGCGCAGGCGGUUUUUUAGGUCUGAUGUGAAAGCCUUCGGCUUAACCGGAGAAGUGCAUCGGAAACCGGGAGACUUGAGUGCGGAAGAGGACAGUGGAACUCCAUGUGUAGCGGUGGAAUGCGUAGAUAUAUGGAAGAACACCAGUGGCGAAGGCGGCUGUCUGGUCUGCAACUGACGCUGAGGCUCGAAAGCAUGGGUAGCGAACAGGAUUAGAUACCCUGGUAGUCCAUGCCGUAAACGAUGAGUGCUAAGUGUUGGAGGGUUUCCGCCCUUCAGUGCUGCAGCUAACGCAUUAAGCACUCCGCCUGGGGAGUACGACCGCAAGGUUGAAGCUUAAAGGAAUUGACGGGGGCCCGCACAAGCGGUGGAGCAUGUGGUUUAAUUCGAUGCUACGCGAAGAACCUUACCAGGUCUUGACAUCUUCUGCUAACCUAAGAGAUUAGGCGUUCCCUUCGGGGACGGAAUGACAGGUGGUGCAUGGUUGUCGUCAGCUCGUGUCGUGAGAUGUUGGGUUAAGCCCCGCAACGAGCGCAACCCUUAUUGUCAGUUGCCAGCAUUUAGUUGGGCACUCUGGCGAGACUGCCGGUGACAAACCGGAGGAAGGUGGGGAUGACGUCAAAUCAUCAUGCCCCUUAUGACCUGGGCUACACACGUGCUACAAUGGACGGUACAACGAGUCGCGAAACCGCGAGGUCAAGCUAAUCUCUGAAAGCCGUUCUCAGUUCGGAUUGCAGGCUGCAACUCGCCUGCAUGAAGUUGGAAUCGCUAGUAAUCGUGGAUCAGCAUGCCACGGUGAAUACGUUCCCGGGCCUUGUACACACCGCCCGUCACACCAUGAGAGUUUGUAACACCCAAAGCCGGUGAGGUAACCUUCGGGAACCAGCCGUCUAAGGUGGGACAGAUGAUUAGGGUGAAGUCGUAACAAGGUAGCCGUAGGAGAACCUGCGGCUGGAUCACCUCCUUUCUA